GCUGGAGUAAUUCUUCUCAAGAGAAGCAGCUUGGGUUUAACUCAAAUUUUCCUUUAAGGUCUCUCUGCUUUGACAGAGAGGCAAAAAGAAACAAAAGCACCUGGCUAUCUAGAAAAGGAAAGGGGCUCUGAGAACAAGGAUAGGAAGGGAAGAUUGAACUCCUUAAGAACAUCAUCUCUGAAUAUCCAGUAUCUGGUACCUCGUAGGUGCUCAAAAACUGUGAAUCCAAUUGUGAUACUUUGAAAACCAGAGAUAAAGGACAGAAGAAGCCUUGGAUCCAAAUGCACUGUAAGAGGAGACUGGAGAAUUUAAGAUCUUGAGGACAUGGGACUGCUACUCAGGCACUGUAGCAACACAAGGCUCUUGCUCCAGUGAAAAGUUAAACCAUGCUUGAAAUAAAACAAACAAGGCAAGACAAAAGAAAUCUCCAGAGUGAAUAUAAAUUGAGGAAA